rnacentral:rRNA from 1 species
UACGGAGGGCGCGAGCGUUAUCCGGAUUUAUUGGGUUUAAGGGGUGCGUAGGCGGGCUUUUAAGUCAGCGGUAAAAAUUCGGGGCUCAACCCCGUCCGGCCGUUGAAACUGGGGGCCUUGAGUGGGCGAGAAGAAGGCGGAAUGCGUGGUGUAGCGGUGAAAUGCAUAGAUAUCACGCAGAACCCCGAUUGCGAAGGCAGCCUUCCGGCGCCCUACUGACGCUGAGGCACGAAAGUGCGGGGAUCGAACAGG